GAUGAAUGCUGGCGGCGCGCCUAACACAUGCAAGUCGAGCGGUAACAUGGACUUCGGUCUGAUGACGAGCGGCGGACGGCUGAGUAACGCGUGGGAACAUGCCCCAAAGUGAGGAAUAACUGCCCGAAAGGGUGGCUAAUGCCGCAUAUGAUCUUCGGAUUAAAGGAUUUAUCCGCUUUGGGAGUGGCCUGCGUACGAUUAGGUAGUUGGUGAGGUAAUGGCUCACCAAGCCUACGAUCGUUAACUGGUCUGAGAGGAUGAUCAGUCAGACUGGAACUGAGACACGGUCCAGACUCCUACGGGAGGCAGCAGUGAGGAAUCUUCCACAAUGGGCGAAAGCCUGAUGGAGCGACGCCGCGUGCAGGAUGAAGGCCUUCGGGUUGUAAACUGCUUUUAUAAGUGAAGAAUAUGACGGUAACUUAUGAAUAAGCACCGGCUAACUACGUGCCAGCAGCCGCGGUAA
rnacentral:rRNA from 1 species